rnacentral:misc_RNA from 1 species
UUUGUUUAUUUAAUUUAUGGUCUGAGACUAUAAGUAGCAGGGUUUAAAUCUCUGGCAGGCGCUAGCCCACUCUUUCGAGUCAACAUGGGCCUGCCGAGGAAUUUGACGUUUAAAACAUAGGGUGGAGAGUACUUCGGUUUACCCAAAGCUAACUCGGUAAUGAUCCUUCCGCAGGUUCACCUACGGAAA